CCGGAACAUGCGCUACUCCGAUUUUAAACGUGGCUGGGCUGUGAGACCCGUUCUUGGCUCUGGUUUUACGAAGCCAUCAAUACAUACACACCCUUGAUGGAGCUGCAGAUCCGUUCCUUUUCCUGCAGCCCACUUGUGGGGGAAAAGUGCCUUACUGACUUACAGUAGCCACUCAGUUUCAACAGGUGCCUAUCUUUGACAAAAAAAAACCACAAAAAACAAAAAAAAAAAAAACAAAAAAAAAAACAGAAAAGAAAAAAAACGUUAAAAUGUCUCUUAAUUUUCAUUGGCUGUUAUUCUUAUAUUGAUCAUCUUGUAUGUUCCCAGCAAGUCACCGGGCCAUCGAAUUAUCUCCAUGUUGUUGUUCAUUAUCCUUCUGCCAUGUACCUCAGAUCUAUCAGUUAUGGUCUCUCUUGUCUUGGAUUAUUUUGUUCCUUUUUUUUUUUUUUUAAUUUGCUUUAAGAGUGCGAUGCCAUAUCAAAUCAAUGUUGUUCUCUCACGGUGUACUCUCUAACAGGUGUGGGUGGGGUUUAUGGUUGGGAUACGAGGAGAGUCUAAAGUAGCAGAUUAGUGUGAAUAAAAAAGAAAAGGUUUUUAGGAAAUCCGGGGGAAGUACAUUGUAUUGACUACAAUGCUGAUGUGAUGUAGCCGUUAAGUCUUCAGUGAUCUUAAAAACAAAAAAACAAAAAAAAAAUCAACCCUAAUUUGUUCUUCUGACUGACUAGUUUGAAGUUGGAUUUGAAGAUGAUGUUGAAAAAGGUUUUGAAUGCAAUUAGGUUAUGCUAUUUGGACAAUAAACUCACCUUGACCU
rnacentral:lncRNA from 1 species